UGAAUUUGUGAUACACGGAAAUACUUAUGAAAAUGGUCAAGUAUGGAGGUCUAUCUUCUCAUCCACCUAGCUUACCUAUUUAACAAUGGGAACACAACAAGUAUGAGCUUCCUAAAUUUAAUGUAAUUCUCAUGCGCUUUUCACGUUUUUUAAUGUGCUACACACUUGCAUGUCAUCUCUAUUACACAUGUUGUUUACAGUAGAACAAAUCUGGCAUUUGUCCCGCGCAGGCCAACAAUUAUUAAUCAAUAAACGUUAUUCAUGCCAUGUGUUUCUUGAAUUAAAAGAACUAAAUUGAUGCCUACAUACAAUACGACACUUGGUUAUCAGCAAUUACUGUCCAUGAAAAAUAAAGAAACCACAGAAAAUUCAGACAUCACACACAAAAAUAAACCAGACUCGCAUCAAUAGUAUGUUUCAUUUUUCCCAUAGUCUUAAUUGAAUGAGCAGAGCUAGUAUGAGUUUGGAUGGCCUAUGUAAUAUACACAACCAACAUUUAGAAACCAGAAAUUAUCAAAGCUGAGUUAAUAAAAUUUACAAAAAAAUUAAGAGGCAAUCAAAGUAAUUGAAAGGAGUGUGAGUAAAUUAGAGUAACACAAACAGAUCAUACCUUGAUCGAAAUUACUAGUGUAUUUGAGUAAUUGCAACCUGAAAGGGAAAUGAGAAUGAGGUGUGUGUGUGUGUGUCUAUGAAGUAUUAAUAUUGGGGUCUGAGUUGUGGCCCUUGGGAGGCCCAUAUAUAUACAUGAGGGGAAGAAGGGGUGUGUGUUGGGUGUGGGUGUGGGUGGAAACAAUACUAGUACGAUGAUGCUAACAAAAUCCAAUUGUGACACUGAUGUAUUAUAUUAUGCCAAUUCAAAGAGGCCGCAGAAUAUAUAUGGCUAACUAUACGAAUAAUAUAGGGAGAACUGAAUAAUGAAUAUGAUUCCAAUUCUGUGUGUGCUUGCUCGCCUAACCAUAAAAUGUUAAAUUACCUAGUUUUCCAUGAUUAAUUAGAUGGUGACUUCAUAGAUGAGUUUCACAAAAGGAAAAAAGAAAAAGGAGGCUAUAUAUAUAGCAGUAUACUUCAUACGUGGAAUCCCCGACUCUUUGUCUCUCACAGGAAUUAGUAAGUGAUUCUGACGCGAUCUCCACCUAUUUUAAUUCCCAUCCUUAAUUCUGCUCCAGCUCUUAUUACUUAUUAGUAUCCAAUUUUAUAAAUUAUUCCAACUUCCAUAACUUAAUUAUAUCCAUGUGUCUGUUUGAGGAUUUGAUUCUAUUUCUUUAUGCCUUGAUUCCAUUUACUUAUUCCCAUACCCACACCUUAACUUGCAACUGAAGCUGAAGCUCCAUCUCAUCUAUGAGACACAGAGAGAAAUCCAUUACAUCACUUGUACCAUCUUCUUUUUUUAUGUCAUAUAUCUUUCUUUUGUGACAGCAGUAUAGUAGUACAACGACAAAAUUGCAAUCAAAAGUUGCCGUUAAAGAUGAGUGGCAUUAUCAUCAACUUAUUUUACUUGUGCAAGCUAGUGCAACCACCAAAAAUCUUAUAUACCUAAUCAUUCCACUAGAAGUUCAUGGCAUCAUGACAUAGCAAUUAAUCGCAAGUUACUAAUGUUGGAUAAUUUUUUUGAGACCAAGUUAAUAAUGUUGAAUUUAAGAUUUGCUUAGACAAUAUUGUAACUUUUUUUUUUAUAAUGAACUGAAUGUGUCAUCGAUAGAUGAUGAUUUAUUGAAAGGAAUUAAUUUAGCAUGAUGAAAUUAAUCCGAAUAUUAUCGUGUGGUUGACUUGACCCAAUUGGAAUCCUCAAAGCCCAAAGGCUUAAACUGAAUUUAGUUGCGUAAUGCUUAAUUUAAGAAGGCCUCAAUCUAAAAAUAAAAAAGAUAAAAAAGUUAGUAUAUCUGCACCCAGACAUAUUAUCCUCAAUAUCAUCAUCCCAAAACAUUAAUGUGAUUAAUGAGUGCUUCCCUACAGAAUCUUUACUUAUAUGGAAUCCUCCUCAGAAUCUUUGGAAUCCAACAUUGCAACCAUCGAAGAGUAUCCCUUUAAGAAGCUACGACUCAAUUAUUUUUUCAACUUGACAUACUAUACAUCGACAUUAUAUAGUUGUCAGAAUUAGAAUCCAUUACUUUCUGCAGUUAUUAUAUUUUAUUUCUCCACACCCCUUUAUCCUCGGCCAAAAGAUGAGUAUAAUAUGUUGGAUUAAAUUCUUAAUUAAUCCAAUUAAUGGACAAAUAUAUAUAUAUAUAUAUAAUGUAAAUAAAUGUUACUAUAUGUUAAAUUUUAUAUUUAUUUUUUAUUGAGGGACCAAAUAAUAAAUAUUGAUAACUUGAGAAGUUAUAUAUAAGGGGUCUGAUUCCAAGAAAUGGUAAGUUCUUUCUGUAUUCUUAUUCCCAAAAAUAAAAAGAAGAUCGUAUUUUUGGAAGAUCAAAUUUUCAUACAGAAUAUUCAAUUAUGGCUACAGGUUAGUGAUUAUAGUUUAAAUAUUAUCAGAUUAUCGUCAUAGAAUUUAUAGUAAUUAUAUGAAUUACUUCUAACAUAAUAUCGAGCAUAUGUGCAGAAUGAUUCACAAAAUCUUAAGAAACAAAGAGCCUAUUAUAUAAUACUCCGUACGUGAUAUUUACAUAGAUUUUUAUGCCUAUAUGUAGUCUUAUAUUCCAGUGUCUCUAUAAUUGUGAAUAACCACCCACCCCCUUGAAAAUAAAUAAAUUAAUGAGAUGAAACUAUGACAAUUAUCUAAUUACAGGACCAUCUUAGCAUAAAGUGGGACCGCUGGCGAUUCACGGACUUAAGGCGUAAUUCCAUGCCACCAAAUUUGUAAUUUCCCCAUUAUAUAUGGUAUAUAUUUUCCCUACUUUUUCUCUUAGGGUGCCUUCAACAAUGAACCUAGUUUCUAGUUUUUAAAGUGACACAUCAACUUUUGAAAUUCAUCUACUUUUUGUUCUAAUAUCUUCUCCAAUAAUGAACUAGUUUCUUAUUUUUUGGGGUCCCACCACAAUACAUAUUCCUUUAUAAAUUUAAAUGAUAACUAGAAAAAAAAACCAUAAACUAAAAUGUUAAACAAUCAAAGUCAGCGUAAAAGUGGCGGGAGGGGCCCACUAACUUUAGGUGAAACUGGGUGCAAUUUGGGAGCUGGUUUCUUCGAUUUCCGUGUGAAAUCAGUUCCUAAAAGCUCCAAUGGUGGUUCCUAAAGUGAGAAACUGGAAAAAAUACACCGUUGGAGGCACCCUUAGGUUGAUCAAAUAGCUAGAGGUAGCUAGUUUUUUAUAAUCCAGUAAAAGUAGUGGACAUGCCUUUUCUAUUAUAAUUGAUAGAAAUUGAUGCAUGCAUGCCUAAGCAUAUGAUGCAAUAUAUGAAUACCUAAAAGUGAAGAAAAAGCUUCACCUACAUCAUCCUUUUAUAUUCUCCUAUCCUAUUCUUAUUAUACAAGACUCAAUACAUUAACACGUCUUUUUACCUUUUCGUUCUUUUUAUUUUGAACGAUAAGGAAAAAAAAACCCCUAGAAUCAAUAUUAAUAACUAGGGAUGUCAAUCUAGUUCGAAACUCGUGGGCUGACCCGAUUAACCCGCCAUUCGAGAGGGUUAUGAUUGAAUAUUUUCAAUCCGCUAAAAGUUACAACCCGAUUAGUCCGUAACCGAAUAGCCCGACACCCGAUAGGGUCUGCCCGACUAAUCCGAUGGGCUAGCCAGAAACCCGAAUACUUAAUAUUAAAUAUUUAGAUAUAAAAAUAAGAAAAUGACAAAAUAUUAUAAAGUCUCAUCAUUUCACUUUUCUGUAUUUUUGAGAUGCUUUGAUUUUGUGAAUUUAAACUAUUGUUGGAUAUUUUAUUAUUUUUUCGUUAACAAAGUUGAAUUAUUGUUAUCAACUUAUUUUAUAUGUUAUGUAAUCUUGAUGUUUUUUCAAUAUCUUAUAUUUUUGCAUUUCAUGCUUGUUAUAUACUUAUAUCUUUGAUUUCUAUAUAUAUUUUAUACAUUAUACAUUAGAUUAUUAAAAAUAACAAAAUACAAAUGAUUAUUUUAUUUUUACGCAUUUAAGCCAACUAGCUCGAUGGGCUAGCCCGAAACUCGAACGUUUAAGGUUAGAGUUGAAAAUUUAUAACCUGACAAAAUCCCCAAGUCGAUUAGCCCGAAAUCCGAUAGGACUGGCCCUGUUAAUAACUUAUUAGGUGGCAACAAAAAAAAGAUGCAUUGUGAGCAUAGAGUUGGAGCGAUGCUUGUUGGCCCAAUAAAGAAGGCCGAAGAUAGGAAUUUGGGCCUCGGAGACGCGGUGGUCCCUUUGUAGUAGUAAGCAAAUUGUCCUGGACAUGAGUUGUUGUUGGUCAAUUUGUGGAAGUAUUCAAAAUUGUAGUGUGAAUUAAGAUAUUGACUUUGUGAAAAGAGAAGAGUCGUGGAUAGAGGAAGAGGUAGCCACCUCUGACUAAACCCAAUUGAUUGAGUUGGCGUACGCGCUUCCUAAUUCCUAUCGUUAGUCUAUACUAUAAAUAACUCAUCUCAUGUGUCGUUGUAGUUGUAAAAUUUGAAGUUUGAAGAUGUGCCCUAUGCGAUUCCUUCUGGUGUUGUUCUCCGCAAUGUUGGCCGCCUAUCUGGCGUGGAAGGCCAAUGAAUCCCACCUCCGCCCUUCCAAGUUGCAGCUGAGGGAUGCCUUCUCACUCUUCACAGACAUGGCCACCGGCCGAUACUUGUGGAGAAAGAUCAAUCAGCUCAACUAGACGGCAUACAUGCAUCAUUUUUUCUUUUAUUCUUCUAAUUGUUUAUAAUCAUGUAUCUAUGCAAUUCUUUUUUCUUUUCUUUUUUUAUUGCCACUUUGUAUGAUUACAUCAAAUGCUAGUUUUUCUACGGUGAAAAACAGUCCUUCGAGGCUUUGACCGGCCAGGACUAAAAAUCAAUCACAUCUUUGAUGUAACAACUAAUAAAUUAGUUAUAAAUUUUCGCAAAUUUUAAAUGGAAUCAUAGAUUUAAAAUCGUUUGUGCUAGAAUUCGAAUGACCGACGGAUGCUAACUUAUGAUGCAAAUAAGUACUGUAAUAUAUUACAACAAAUUUUCUUAUACAAUUUGAUGUACCAUAUAAUAUGAUAAUGCAAGGAAGCGUAUAGAUAUAUUAAUGGUUGAGAAUAAUCACCAAUUGAGUAUUUAGAUUAGCUCGUUCAAAAGCACACCUUCUAUGCACAAGGUCGUGAGUUUGAGUUCCACAAGCAGCGAUAUAUUUUUACUUACUUUUAGUCUGAUUCGGGCUUGGACCUUUUGAUUUGCUUUGAUCAAUUUUUUUUAUCGAUUUUUUUUUUUGUCUGAAUCCUUCUCGGUCCCAUUCAAAAGUAAUAUUUGUAUGUGUUAAAAG
rnacentral:lncRNA from 1 species